CCAGAAUGUGGUUUCGGUGUGUGUGCAGGACAGGAGGAGAGGGGGACAAAGGGGCCAUUGUGCCACAUUCCCAAACUCAAGCCCUCCUUUCCGCUGACAUCACGGCUGCCCUAAAUAGAGCUGCCCAGACCCGCUCCCCCAGACCCGGGCUGCCCCCUGCAUCGUGGCGAGGAGCCGGCUGUCCCCAGUACCGCUCCACGGGACUCACCUUUGCCUUCUCUGUGACGAGCCGGGCCACGUUGCCCUGGCUGACUUCUCAGCCGACUUCAGGUGGAAAAUUCUAGAAAGGAAAGAGGCUUCGUUGGGAUGUGUUAUUGCUGCUGCCGCUCUCAGAAUCCUGGGUCCCUUUGGUGCUGCGAGCCCACCUCCUGGCAGGAUGUUUUACGACCGAAAUAUGGCGGACUCCCCCUCCUUUUUGGGGUCAGCUCUUUACUCCUCGGCUGCCUGGGGGCCUCCAAGACUUUUCUGGAUGGACACGGAGGGUACCAAGCAGAGCUGAGAGAUGUCCACGGACCGGGAGGCAAGACCCCGGAAGAAGGAUGGCCCUUAUCCUUAAGGGCAAGCAGACCCUCACACCCGGAGAUUUCGAUACCUUUUUGGAGCGUGCGCACUGCCUGGAGGGAGGUGAGUCUGGCGCGUGCAGGUGCUGGAGAGAGUGGGGGUUUCUCUGCCUAAGACAGUGGGAGGAAGAGGAGGACGGGGUGGGAUGGGGACCAAAGCACAUUUUAGAAUAAGGAAGCCACAUAUUCAAGUUCUAGGUGACUUUACUGCUGUGGGCAGACCCCCACCCCCCCCUCCCCCCGCCAACUCCUCAAGACUUUGGAAAACUCAUGCAUGCACAGAGGUCUGGUGUAAGCCGGCGUUCUGGAGGAAGCAAGGAAAGGGGCCGAGCUCUGGGUCUGGGGCGAUCUGGAGUGGAGAUAAAGGAAAAGCCAUGAAGCCAGCGCUGCCCAGUAAAAACAGAAGGGAAGCCGCACACGUAAUCUUUCGGUUUUUUGCAGCCGUCGAAAGACCACAAAAAGAAAACAGGUGACGUUAAUUUUAAUAACAGAUUUCAUGGAACCCCAAUUUACCCCCACGUAGCAUUUCACUGGCCAGCAGAUCAGCGCCAGGAAGCAUGGGAAUUUCAGCCUCUGGCCCCAAACUUGCAAGGGCAGCUUGAACCCUUCACAGGGUGCAGAAUGUAGACCGAGCUCAUGUAACCUGGGCCUUGGGGGCCAGGGGGACCCCCCGGGGCCUCUGGUGCGGGGGGGGGGGGUGAUCAUGCCAGUGCUUGUAUGUGAUAAUGUCUCUCCACUCCUGGGCGCUGGCCAGACACUGAUCGUUAUCACCAAUCUUCACAACGGCCCCGGGGCACUUAUGAUUAAUGUCUUACGUGUAAACUAGUCGUCAGAGCCGAGAUUUGAGUCCCGCUCGCUCUGAUCCCAAGUCCCAACAACACAACACAGCCUGUAAAUGGUGUGUGUGUGUGUGUGUGUGUGUGUGUGUGUGUGUGUGUGUCAAUAGUAAGGGAGACACACGCCAUAUGGGGACUGAGGCAGGCUGUAGGCAGGGCCCUGGGUCCCCGCCCUGGCAGAGAUCCUCCUCCAGGAUCGAGAGGUGGUGAGGGAACAUCUAGAGGCAAGCUGUGGCGGGGCUCUGUUGAGGGUGACAGUGGAGGCCCCACACGCCGUGGGACUGGCGGAGCCGAGGGUGGAGCCGGGUGUGAGGCUGAGUCUCAGGGUGCGGGGGCUGGGGGGACACCGUGGCUACUUUUCCUUGGCUGUGGAGGGUUGGGCGUGACCACCGCUGGACUCUUGCCCCUCAGUGGGAAGAGAGGGGCCGAGGACUUCCACGCCCUCCCCGUGUGCCGCCUGGGUGCGCUCACGCCAUCCUCCCGGCUGUUUGUCUGGGCCACUCCCUCCCAGGCCGGCAGCCAGGCUCCCGUGUGCUCCUUGGAGCCAAGAUCCCAAGGCAAAGCCGGGAAGCCCAGGGGAGCGAGGGGGCUGGCCCGGGAACUCUCCCACCCCUGGCUGGUGCACAGGAAGAACACGGAGGCCUGAGCGGGCCUGGCUGCCAGGGUAGGAGCAGAGAGACGGGGAGAGGACAGCCCUUGCCUCCAGGGGGGCAGGGAUCAAGGACCCCAGAUGGCAGGCUGGCAGCUCAGAGCCUCCAACCUGAGCAGAUUCGGCACGACUCCAGGUUUCCACCGGAUGAGGGGCCUCAAGGGAGAGGAGGAAAUGACGCACGAGACAGAAACACUGUCUUACCAGAGGACCCAUGUGGUUGGGGGUGGCCACCCCAACAGGCCUUCAGUCCGUCAACAAACGUCUACCGAGCGCCUCCCGUGUGCCGGCCCUGAGCCUCUGCCUGCCUCCGCAGAUGCUUAUGGGAUAACUAACCAGCUAACCAACCAACCAACCAACCAACUAACAGGUAUGGGAUGCCCAGCAGGGGGGGAGGAGGGGGGCCGAACAUAACCAUAGAAGCACUUGCAAUGGCCUUGCUUACCAGCUUUGCCCAGAGAGGAGGAGUGACUUUCUUAAGAGCUCUGAGCACGCCCAGACCCGAGCACUCCUUCAGAACCUCUGCCCGAGCACCUACUGUGUGCAGCACUUCCCCCGUCCCCAGUGGGCACCAGAAUCCUGCCCUCCUGCAGCGUAGGUCUAGGGUGGGAAGCCGGCCUGGAACAAGGGACCCAGACACAGCACACCCUCUCGGAGCACAGGGAGGGUGCGGGGUGCGCUGGAGGCAGGGGGGCCGGAGGGGGCUCUCCGAGGAAGUAGGGGGGCUCUCUGAGGAAGGGGGGCUCUCUGAGGAGCUGCUAUUUGGGCAAAGACCAAAACAAGCACAGUGAGAGUGCAGUUCCGUGGAUGGGGGCGGCGGGGGGGGGGGGGCACUGGGAGUUCCCAGCAAAGAUCUUGAACAGAAGCAUGUUAUGAGGCAGUAGGGCUGCGGUGGGCGUGGGAAGAGCAGGGAUGAGGUCAGAGGGCUGGGCAGGGCCAGCACGGCUGGUCAAGAGCAUGGAUCUCACUCUCAGUGUGACCGGAAGACGUUGGAGCGUCAAAAGCAGGGGGCGAGAUUCCCGAUCUGAUCUUUCUCCUGAAAGGACGGCCCGGCUCCUGCUGGAGCUGAGGGGCUCGAGGGGCAGGGAGCCAGGGGGGCGCUGUGCAGGGACCCCGGGAGCCAGAUCCUGCUGCUGCACCGGGAGGGUCAGAGUGGAGGCCGAGAGAAGCCGAUUCAGGACACGCUUGAAGGUGGGGAUUCCGGGGAAUGAGAGAAAGGGCAGGGGGUCCGAGGGCACCCUCACCACCCCUUUGCCUGUACAUUUCGGGACACCCGGACGCAGUAUUCACAAACCCAGGGGUCCUUGGCCCAGGAAGCACCACCAUCAGACUGGGGCCCCUCCCCAUCGGCCCUCAAGCCCGGGGCCCUGCCUCCAGGGAAGGGAAAACCUCCACCGCCCCAUGGCAGCCCCCUUCAGGGAGCGAGAGAGAUGAUUAAGAGUCAGUUCCAGGAUAAUGGGUAGAUCCCAGGCCUGGUGGGAUUUAGAGGCCACCGUGGCCGAUGUCUUGCCCUUGUUUGGAUUUUCUGGGAGAUGCCUCCUGGAGCCAGGGGCCUGGGACCUAGGUCACAAGUCCUUGCCCCUCUGCCAUCCCUCCUUUAUCUGGGUCCCCCCUCGGGUCUAGUCUCUGGCUCAUCCUCGAAAGGGAGUGGUCAGAUGUGAGCCUGGAUGUAGGCUCAAGAUGUAGGCCUGGAGGUAGGCCCCUGCAGUGGGCAGGGGCACGGUGGCCCGGCGAGGUUGUAGCCACCUGGGAAAAACCAGCUCGGGCCUCUUCCUAGCCAGCCGAGCUCUGCAGGGCCAAGCCGGUGACGCUCAGCUCAAGGGUUCCAGGUCGUGCAGUGUCCUCUGGACCUCGGUCCCUGGAAAAGCCCACUAGGAAGGGGGUCAUUGAGCCCGGGCAUUCGGGGUCCUGUAGCUCAACCCCUUCUCUCCACAUACAGACUAGGUUCCCUGGCAGCAUGCGUUACAAAGGGGCUCUUCCCCUAGGGGAUCUUGACAGGUAAGAGCCUCUUGCUUCCAGAACCCUUCAGCCCUCCAGAAGGCAGGGUAGAGAUGGACAUGCCAGGUUCUAAUCCAAACUCUGCCACGUGCUUGCUCUGUGACCUUGGGCAAGUUGCUUACUCUCCCUGGGCCUCAGUUUCCUCAUCUAUAUAAUGGGGAUAAUGACGCAUCACUAUCAGGUUCACGUGAGGAUUCAGACCAGGGCCACAGGGAGCUGGUCCCUCCCUCUUUCUUCCAGAGAAGGUGAGAAAACAGCAAAACGCCAAGAGUCCAAAGGGCAGGCUGGCAGCCCCUGGCUGCCUCUGAGGGCUCCCAGGAGGCAGAAAGGGAAACUGAGGCAGCGAGUGCUGGUGGGAGGCUGCUGAGAAGAAGGUGCUGGUGGCAAUAGGUGAGCAGAGCGGCAGCUAUUUAUUCUGGGGGUCCUGAUCCCAGACACCCUCACCUCCCCCACUGCCGUCUCUCUGCUUGUUCCAAGCCUGGGGGCCAUGAGGCCGGGAGCCAGAAUCAGGAGGAAGUAUGUGGCUGUGAGUCGGCUGCUCUGUGCAUGGGGGGAGAAAGGAGGAUGAGGCUCUGGACCUGGAACGGCAGAGGGAAGGGAUGAGGGGCCGUGAGGCCCAGGCCCUGGUCCUCCUGCCCUCCUGGCCACCCCAGACCUCUGACACCCCGAGUGUUUGGCCCUGUGGGGCACAGCCCUGGCCCUGCCGAGCAACCCCCACCCGUACCUCAGAGGAGCGGGCAGGUCUGUGUGCCCCUUCCCUGGACCUCACCCUCCCCACCGUCUGCCCCAGCCUUGAGACAGAAGCCACCUUGUUCCCCCAAAUGAGGCUGGCACCGCCCACCCAGACCCACCUGGCUGUGCCCUCAGUGCUGGUCCAGGAUGAGGGGCACCUGGGCGCUGUCCACCCGGGGGGGCAGCCGCUCGCCCGUGCGCACGUUGAACAUGGGCAGCGUGGAAAGCGGCCGGGGCACCUCACGGCUGGAUGCCAUCUGUCGUAGUUCCUCCGUGUUCCCGCGGAUCGUGCAGUGGUGGACCAUCUGGAUGCUGGGGGCACAGAGCCGGCAGAGUCAUCAGCCCUGGGAGUCAACCCCCGUGAGGUGCAGCGUGCCGCUGGCUGCGAGCCCCCCUGCCACCUCCCCCACCUGGGGGAGAAGCUCGCACACACGACAGACCAAGGCUCCUUGAGGCCUGCACCAAGCCCCGGGCUCAAUGGGCCUGGAAUCCCCGCGUCCUUCCUGAACUCAGUUUCUUCCCAGAAGGCUCAGCCUCGUUCUCAUCUGACAAAGUCUCAUGAGCUUGCUUCCCGCUGUCUGGGGCAAGCUUUAGUUCACUCUGAGAAGGAGGGUCGCGCUGCAACCUAGCACGAAGACUUGCUUUGGGUUCGAAUGUGAGUUCUCCUCCUUCCUGGCUGUGUGACCUUAUGCAAGUCACUUAACUUCUCUGUGCCACGAUUUCCCCGACUGUAAUGCGGUUGCUGUGCAAAUUAAAUGAGUUAAUGCAGGGAAAACAAAUCUCGCCUGGUCAGCAUCGCGGCAAGCGGCAGCUAAUAUUACAGGGAGCUUGCUGUUGCUAUCAUAAUUAUCAAUGUUGUUUUGUUAUAGCGGGCCCACUGCUGUGCUUAGCCUCCAGUAAAGGGACGUUUCCGAGCCCCUUUCCACGAACCCACCCACAUUUGUGAGUCCAACUUGGAGAUAUUUUCCCAGACUACUGGUUGCCAGGUGAGACAGCACGAACCUUUCAUCACAAACAAUAAAGGGCUGGGGCCCUAGGCAGGGCGGAAGCUACCCUACUUGCCUCUGGGCUACUGAUCAAAUGGGGAAGGGGCAAUGACCCCCACCCCUGUCCAAGUCUCAGUUAGUGGACUGAGCUAGACUCCAGCUAGACUCCGGCUAGAACCUGACAGAUGAGACGACAGGUCAGACUCUCUAGCUUCACGCCGAACGGGCCACACUCCUCCUCGGGGGUGGGGGAGUAGGACCAAGUCCCGUCUGGUUGGCGGGAGGGGGCGGGGUCACCCUAGAAGGCCAGGGUAGGAUCCAGAUGAGCUCUUGAGUCUGGAAUUUGGCAAGCAGAGUUGUCCAAAACACAAUUUUCCAUUCCCAGGCAAGGGGAGGCUGAGGGAGAAAGGAAGUAAGCAACAUGUGGAUGCUCAGGGCUGGAGGCAGCAGGGCAGGUAAUGCCCUGGGUAGGAGAAGGGCCUGAGUUAACGGGCCCCCUCCCUGCCCCCAGCCCCACAUCUGGGUCUCAUUACUGUGGCAACACACACAGGUGGAAAAUGUUCUGGGGGAUGUUUUUCCAGAGCAGGAGGAGAAGCCAGACCCGCAUCGCCUUCUCCCACAGUCCUUCCACAUCAGCACUUGGACAGAUGAACGAAGGGGCAGGCAUUGCUACACAUGCACGCACACACACACACACACACACACACACACACACGGCCCACUACCAAUACACAACGCUCGAGCCCUGUCUCUGGCACACAGACCACACGAGAGGGUCAGGCUGGACGGCUUUCUGGCCAGCAAACUCUGAUACGGACAGCAGAAUCACAAUUGGCGGUUUGGAAAAAAAAAAAAAAAAAGGUCGUUUCAAAAAACUUAUGAAAAAAUGGUAGACAUUGAACAAGCAAAAACAAGAAUUGAAUUUGUGGAGAUAAAUCGACGCAAGCCAACAAGGGCUAAUAUGGCACCUGGUAAACCCGGGGAUUGAUUGAAACUUGAUGAAGAUUUUCUGAUACCUUCGGAGCUACAACACUGACCCAGGAAAGCUGGCCGCUGGUGGAAAUGUCAGAAGAGGAUUUCCACAAUGGCAGAAGAUGUGAGUGAUCAAAUUGGGCACGGCCAAAAAAAUGGAAGAAUGAAAUCUUCCUUGAAAAACGUACAUGGAAAAUCCUCUCCCUCUCUGGGAAAAAAUUCUAUCAAAUAAAAAUGAGAAUAAGAGGGGCGCCUGGGUGGCUUGGUCGGUUAAGCGUCCGACUUCGACUCAGGUCAUGAUCUCACGGUCCGUGAGUUC